UACGAAGGGGGCUAGCGUUGUUCGGAAUCACUGGGCGUAAAGCGCACGUAGGCGGAUGUGCCAGUCAGGGGUGAAAUCCCGGAGCUCAACUCCGGAACUGCCUCUGAUACAGCACGUCUUGAGUUCGAGAGAGGUGGGUGGAAUUCCUAGUGUAGAGGUGAAAUUCGUAGAUAUUCGCAAGAACACCAGUGGCGAAGGCGGCUCACUGGCCCGAUACU
rnacentral:rRNA from 1 species